GGGGGUGUGGUUCAGUGGUAGAGUACCUGCCUGCAUGCAUAAAGUCUUGGGUUCAAUCCCUGGCGUCUCCA